CACGUCGAACUGCAGCACAAGAGAGCUUGUCGUCUGGUGGCGAGUGGCGAACGGGUGAGGAAUACAUCGGAAUCUACUCUGUCGUGGGGGAUAACGUAGCGAAACUUACAGCUAAUACCGCAUACGACCUACGGGUGAAAGCAGGGGACUCUCAGAGACCUUGCGCGAUUGAAUGCAGCCGAUGUCGGAUUAGCUAGUUGGUGGGGUAACGGCCUCACCAAGGCGACGAUCCGUAGCUGGUCUGAGAGGAUGAUCAGCCACACUGGAACUGAGACACGGUCCAGACUCCUACGGGAGGCAGCAGUGGGGAAUAUUGGACAAUGGGCGCAAGCCUGAUCCAGCCAUACCGCGUGGGUGAAGAAGGCCUUCGGGUUGUAAAGCCCUUUUGUCGGGAAAGAAAUCCAGCUGGCUAAUACCCGGUUGGGAUGACGGUACCCAAAGAAUAAGCACCGGCUAACUUCGUGCCAGCAGCCGCGGUAAUACGAAGGGUGCAAGCGUUACUCGGAAUUACUGGGCGUAAAGCGUGCGCAGGUGGUUGUUUAAGUCCGUUGUGAAAUCCCUGGGCUCAACCUGGGAACUGCAGUGGAUACUGGCCGACUAGAGUGUGGUAGAGGGUAGCGGAAUUCCUGGUGUAGCAGUGAAAUGCGUAGAGAUCAGGAGGAACAUCCAUGGCGAAGGCAGCUACCUGGACCAACACUGACACUGAGGCACGAAAGCGUGGGAGCAAACAGA
rnacentral:rRNA from 1 species